rnacentral:rRNA from 1 species
AGAGCGAACGCUGGCGGCAGGCUUAACACAUGCAAGUCGAGCGCCCCGCAAGGGGAGCGGCAGACGGGAGAGUAACACGUGGGAACGUACCUUUCGGUUCGGAACAACCCAGGGAAACUUGGGCUAAUACCGGAUACGUCCGUAAGGAGAAAGAUUUAUCGCCGAAAGAUCGGCCCGCGUCUGAUUAGCUAGUUGGUGAGGUAACGGCUCACCAAGGCGACGAUCAGUAGCUGGUCUGAGAGGAUGAUCAGCCUCACUGGGACUGAGACACGGCCCAGACUCCUACGGGAGGCAGCAGUGGGGAAUAUUGGACAAUGGGCGCAAGCCUGAUCCAGCCAUGCCGCGUGGGUGAUGAAGGCCCUAGGGUUGUAAAGCCCUUUCGGCGGGGAAGAUAAUGACGGUACCGCAGAAGAAGCCCCGGCUAACUUCGUGCCAGCAGCCGC